rnacentral:rRNA from 1 species
AUUGAACGCUGGCGGCAGGCCUAACACAUGCAAGUCGAGCGGAGCGGCGGACGGGUGAGUAAUGCCUAGGAAUCUGACUGGUCGUGGGGGAUAACGUCAGGAAACGGGCGCUAAUACCGCAUACUAUCAGAUGAGUCUAGGUGGGAUUAGCUAGUUGGUGGGUUAAAGGCCUACCAAGGCGACGAUCCGUAACUGGACUGAGAGGAUGAUCAGUCACACUGGAACGGAUACAGGGUCCAGAGUACUACGGGAGGCAGCAGUGGGGAAUGGGGGACAAUGGUCGAAAGCAUGAUACAGCCAUGCCGCGUGUGUGAAGAAGGUCCUCGGAUUGGAAAGCACUUUAAGUUGGGAGGCGUUACCAAUAGAAUAAGCACCGGCUAACUUCGUGCCAGCAGCCGCGGUAAUAC